rfam:Xenorhabdus innexi strain HGB1681 (deposited as PTA-6826 in the American Type Culture Collection) genome assembly, scaffold: XIS1_scaffold1
AGUUGUCGGCGUAGGGUACAGAGGUAAGAUGUUCUAUCUUUCAGACCUUUUACUUCACGUAAUCGGAUUUAGCUGAAUAUUAGCUGCCCCAGUCAUUCUUUUUUGACUGGGGCGUUUUUUU